AGAACGAACGCUGGCGGCAGGCUUAACACAUGCAAGUCGAACGGGCGUAGCAAUACGUCAGUGGCAGACGGGUGAGUAACACGUGGGAACCUUCCUGGGGGUACGGAACAACUCAGGGAAACUUGAGCUAAUACCGUAUACGUCCGUAAGGAGAAAGAUUCAUCGCCCCUAGACGGGCCCGCGUCGGAUUAGGUAGUUGGUGGGGUAACGCCUACCAAGCCUACGAUCCGUAGCUGAUCUGAGAGGAUGAUCAGCCACACUGGGACUGAGACACGGCCCAGACUCCUACGGGAGCAGCAGUGGGAAUCUGGACAAUGGGCGCCAAGCCUGAUCCAGCCAUGCGCGUGAGUGAAGAGGCCUUAGGGUGUAAAGCUCGUUUACGAGGUACGAUAAGUGACGGUACCUAGGA
rnacentral:rRNA from 1 species